AUUGAACGCUGGCGGCAGGCCUAACACAUGCAAGUCGAACGAGUGGCGGACGGGUGAGUAAUGUCUGGGAAACUGCCUGAUGGAGGGGGAUAACUACUGGAAACGGUAGCUAAUACCGCAUACCAUCAGAUGUGCCCAGAUGGGAUUAGCUAGUAGGUGGGGUAACGGCUCACCUAGGCGACGAACCCUAGCUGGUCUGAGAGGAUGACCAGCCACACUGGACCUGAGACACGGUCCAGACUCCUGCGGGAGGCAGCAGGGGGGAAUAUUGAACAAUGGGCGCAAGCCUGAUGCAGCCAGGCCGAGUGUAUGAAGAAGGCCUUCGGGUUGUAAAGUACUUUCAGCGGGGAUGCGUUACCCGCAGAAGAAGCGCCGGCUAACUCCGUGCCAGCCGCCGCGGUAAUAC
rnacentral:rRNA from 1 species